rnacentral:ncRNA from 1 species
UGGCUCUGGAGAAGUCCCCCCAGCGGGGAUGCCGAAGGUGCAACGGGCCCCCGUGGGGCGCGAAUCUCUCAGGCAAAAGGACAGAGUGA